CGGGGGACAGGUUGAUUUGGUUAAACAACUCCACUACCCAUUGAUUUUCUCAAAGAUAUUUUGCGAAGACGUCCAGGAGGACAGAUUCUUAAGGCCUUUUUAAUGGACAUUUGGAACAGGCAGAGGCAGACACUGCCUUCUAGAUGCGGUUUUAAAGCAGCUACGGUGAAUGAUGGGGUCAGAUCUCCGGGUGUACAACACGGUUUUCAGCCCGGACGACUGGCGCGGCAUUCAGAAAUGGCAAGAAGUAAGACAAAGUAUGAGCCUUUGAAGGUUGGAAGAUUUGGAAUUGAGUUUAAGUCUGGCUACCAUAGAGAUGUUCCUUGUAUCUUUAGUGGUGACUGGAUUGGGAUGUUCGAGCCUCAUCAAACACUUUUUGGCCCACAUGAGUGAGACCAGUGUUGGAAUGUCAAAGAUGACAGCAUUUAAAUUCGUGAACUUUUGGACCAAUUUCUGCCAUUUGCUGGCAUUUUUGGAAGCACCAAGGAAACAUUCAUAAAUCUCAAUUUUCCAGAAACAUUUUUUCCUUUUCCUUUUCGCCUGCAUCCUCGACAGCUUAGUAGUAAACACUACAGUAAGCAGAAGGUUCUCCAGCUCUCCGUCUUUUAGGGCAGAUGUAGACCCAGUGCUGCUCUUUCUAAAAAGUGUGCAGGACGUCUCCUUAUAAUGUCCGAGAGGCUGGUGGAAUGGAGAAACCGGUAUUUAGAGUGACUUCAAGGGCACUCUAUUUAGACGGCACUGAAACGUGAACGUCUGAAUUCUAUAAAGAUCCUGGGAACUGCACUAAGUAACAAUUGUGAAAGGACUCCAAGCAAUGGCAUCAACUGUAUAACAUACCAUGCUGGUAUUAGAGCCUCUCUUCAGUGAGUUGUCCCAGAUUGCAGGGAUUUAUGCAGUUAGCCAUGAUUGGGUCAGUUUUAGAAGACAAGAGUACUGAAGAUGUACAAAAGCCAUCUUGGUUGGUGUGUAAUGGUGUGGGUGGCCAAGGGAUUUGCAGUAAUCUUCAGUCUUUAGUGGAUGGAUUGAAAUUUGUCCCAAUCAUUGGAAUAGCCAUGUCUUUGUCAAGCAAAGAUGGUGAAGCAAAAGGAGCAAUGUCAGAUGUCUCAGGAAUAGCAUUUUGUUUUCUU
rnacentral:lncRNA from 1 species